AUCUAAUCCUCAGCGAUUUUUUUUGCAUAGACAGGGGCUGGGAGGUGAAUGGUUGAAGGUCGUAGUCACUCAGAGUUUUCGAGGGCGCUAUGCUUUGGAGGGUUAGCAAGAUGACCAAGAGGCUGAUGAUGGGUUACCUAGGCGGCAGCAGCCUUCCUAGGUCCCACUUCCUCGUUAAAUCAUGCAGCCUGUGUUUAAGGCAAUUGCUUUCAGUACUGAGCCCCUGCGCUAAAGACCAUGCUACAAGAAGCUAGAUGUUAGGGCAGUCCGAGAACUGUCCCUGGUCCACUGGGGGUGGGGUAGGAGGGGUGCACGAGUGGCCGUCUGUGCCAUGUCUGCCUUGCAUUUGAUUCCAGCAGUUACCAAGCUAAACUAGAGAAAGAAAUAGCUUUGUUGUGGAUUGCAUUGUCGAGCCAUUUUCGUGUCCUGAUACCGCAUAAACGAUCACCUGAUCGCUGGAUCGAUUGGGGUGUUCAUGUAUGCUGCCCCCAC
rnacentral:lncRNA from 1 species